UGCCAGCCGCCGCGGUAAUACGGAGGGUGCAAGCGUUAUCCGGAAUCACUGGGUUUAAAGGGUGCGUAGGCGGUUAGAUGAGUCAGAGGUGAAAGGUUGUCGCUUAACGAUAAAAUUGCCUUUGAUACUGUUUAACUUGAAUCAGAAUGAGGUUGGCGGAAUGUGACAUGUAGCGGUGAAAUGCAUAGAUAUGUCAUGGAACACCGAUUGCGAAGGCAGCUGACUGGCACUUGAUUGACGCUGAGGCACGAAAGCGUGGGGAGCGAACAGGAUUAGAUA
rnacentral:rRNA from 1 species